rnacentral:rRNA from 1 species
UUCCGGGUAGGGUGAAAUCUGUAAUCCCGGGAUGACACUGUGGCGAAGGCGCCGGCUUGAACGGUCCGACGGUGAGGGACGAAGGCCUGGGGAGCGAACCGGAUUAGAUACCCGGGUAGUCCAGGCUGUAAACGAUGCGGGCUAGGUGUCGCGGUAGCCAUGAGCUAUCGCGGUGCGGGAGGGAAGCCGUUAAGCCCGCCGCCUGGGAAGAACGGCCGCAAGGCUGAAACUUAAAGGAAUUGGCGGGGGAGCACUACAACGGGUGGAGCCUGCGGUUUAAUUGGAUUCAACGCCGGGAAGCUUACCGGGGGAGACAGCGGGAUGAAGGUCGGGCUGAAGACCCUACCAGACUAGCUGAGAGGUGGUGCAUGGCCGCCGUCAGUUCGUACUGUGAAGCAUCCUGUUAAGUCAGGCAACGAGCGAGACCCGCGCCCUCAGUUGCCAGCGGAUCGCUUUUGCGAUGCCGGGCACACUGGGGGGACUGCCGGCGCUAAGCCGGAGGAAGGUGCGGGCAACGGCAGGUCCGUAUGCCCCGAAUCCCCCGGGCUACACGCGGGCUACAAUGGCCGGGACAAUGGGUACCGACCCCGAAAGGGGAAGGUAAUCUCCUAAACCCGGUCUAACCUGGGAUCGAGGGCUGCAACUCGCCCUCGUGAACCUGGAAUCCGUAGUAAUCGCGCCUCAAAUG